UUCUCUCUUAGCUUUGUGAGAUUAUUGGCUCCUCAACAUAGCUUUAUUUGGGUUGGGAGUUGGCUUGUUUACUCCCCCACAUGCAUGACUCAGUUUGAGUCGGGUAGCUUGUAGCUCCCACAUAGGUCGGAGUUUAUUAGUUCACCACAUCUGGUUUUGGGAGUUCUUUUUGUUGACUCCACUUUGCUAGAUUACAUUGCAUGUCUAUUUAUAGUUGAGUCUUGCCGCCAUGUUUUAGUCCCACCGACUUGUUCUCUUUUCUCCAGCCACAAGUAUGUGGCUUCAUCUAGAAUAUUCUUUGCAUAUUUAUUUGUGUGUUGCCGACAUUCCAACAUCUAGUUUGUUGGUUCUUGAGUUUUCUGGAAUUGUGUAGUUGCAUCUACACAAAUAUGCAUUACUUUUUCAACAAGAAACUCAAAGCCAAGUUUUUUAUGAGCUACACCAGAUGAACUUGUUAAGGUUUCCUACAAAAAUAUAUUUGAACUCAAAUUUGGUGCUAAAAGGAAAAUAAAAAGAAAAGCAAAAGUCUAGGCUCCACUUCUCUCCCUUUCAAACCCUAGCUGCCCCUCUAUCCUAGGGGAGGGGGAGGGGAGGAAACUCCUUCCUUAUCUUCUCUCAUCCGCUUCCACGCUCUUUUUUCUUGCCUUCCCUUGAGGGUUUGGUUGUGCUCUCUGCUCUAUUUUUUGUUGCCCCAGAUCUCCUUAAAUCCCUCUCACCUUGUGAUGUCCCUUUGUUUUGCGGCUUUAUCUUGGUGUUAUUAGGAUUCUUUUUGCAGAUUUGUGGGUUUUGUGGGGCUGCGGUUUUUCCCUAAACUUGGGCUUCGACAGUAGUGUUCUUGUUUUCGUGGUGGCGACGACGACAACUCUACUUUCUGUCAUCUCGGUUGGUUUUGCCCUUUUUUUUGGGUUGUAAUGAUUAUAUCAAAUCUCUUGUGAGUUGGGUGUUUUGUUUGUAGUUGAGUCUCUACUUGUAUUUUUGCUUGUGAGAGUUUAAAAGUUGUAGUUAUAUUGGUAGUUUUGGGUGCUGUUGUCCACGUCUGAUUUGUUUAGGCUUGUGGCUUUCAUGCCGAAAUUUGUUUGGCUUUAUGCCACUAUUAGUGGAGAUAUACUUCUGGUGUAUUUCUCUGUAUAUGGAAUAACCAUGCGUGGUUACUGUGCUUCCAUAUUUGUAUCAACCUUUUAUGGGUAGUUUAUGCCAUUAUGGCUAAUGGUCUUGGUGCCUAUGUUAUGAAUACGAUUAUCACUUACUCUCAAAAAAAGAAAAGCAAAGUAGUAAAAAUAAUUUAUUAAAGUUGUGUAUUAAAAUAGGGAAAUCUGAAGAUUAACUUACAUUAUUAUAUGCUGAAUCUACUUACAUACAAAAACAAUGUUGCAAAUACUUACAUUAUCAACUGUAUGCUGUGCAACAAAGUUUUAAUUACAAUAUUUUAGAAUAAUAAAAGAAUCCAAUAAAUUAUCAAAUAAAAGAAUGCAACCAUGCCUGAUGCAUCCAGACUGGGGGGAUUCCUUCAAAAUACUUCAACUGGAGUUCUUCUUAUGUUUUUUCAUCUUCAGAUAGCUGAAAAUGGGUUUCUCUGGUACAGGUAUAGACUUGACAACCCAACCAAUUGGCCAAGAAACAGCUGCAAUUCCAAUACAUGCACCCCAUUGCCCCCAAUUCAACCUCUCUGUAUCUGCAAACUUCUUGAGAAAUUCCACCAUCACCACCUGAAGCAGAAUUGUCACUGCAAUGAUCCCCAGAAACAAUUUGUUGGUGUGAAUUCCCUUGAACACAUUCUUCUUCUCAAGCUUCCUUGCAUUGAACUCAUUGAACACCUGGCACAGCACAAACGUGUUGAAGAUCAAGGUGUCCUUUACCUUGUCAUCCACGCCAAAGAUUGAUUUGCCUCUGAAUUGCAGGGUCAGGAGGAUUGCAAUCUGGUACAGUGCUUGAGGCAAGAGGUUCCUCCACAUGAUGUUGGUGAUGAGAGGCUCAGUCCUUCCCACUGGUUUCUUCUCCAUGAGUUCUUUUGUGGGCUUCUCAGUGGCAAGAGCCAGAGCACCUAGUGUGUCCAUGAUCAAAUUCACCCACAGCAAUUGAACUGCUGUUAAUGGGACUUCACCUGCUGAAACUGCUGCUACAAAGUUGAUCACAAGAGCUGCAACAUUGACAGUGAGCUGGAAUUGGAUGAACUUCUGGAUGUUAUUGUAAACACAUCUUCCCCAUUUCAAAACUGUGGCCACUGAUGCAAAGUUGUCAUCCAUGAUCACAAUAUCUGAGCUCUCUUUGGCAACUUCUGUGCCUUGAAUUCCCAUGGAAAGUCCUAUAUCAGCUUCUUUCAAAGCAGGUGCAUCAUUCGUGCCGUCACCUGUCACUGCAACCACAUGGCCUUUCUGUUUCAAGCAUUGCACCAUUAGGAGCUUGUCAAAUGGGGAGGACCUUGCCAUUACACAGAUUUUGUCCACCUUCAACAUUCUCUCUUCCGGCGUGUAGGUGCGAAAUUGCACACCUUCUACCACUGCUCCACUGAACAUGUCCUGAUUAGGCUUGAGUAUCCCACAUUCUGUGGCUAUGGCUUUUGCAGUGAAAACAUUGUCACCUGUGAUCAUUUUGACAUUUACCCCUGCAUAUUGACAGUCUUCAACUGCUUUCUUCACCCCGGGACGGCAUGGAUCUUUAAGACCAACAAGUCCUAAUAGAGUCAAUCCAUCUUCUUUAAGCAAAGCUCUGUGUUCUUGUUCAUCCACUUGCUCUUCUGCUGGAAUUUCUUUAUGUGCAAAUGCAAUGCAUCUGAGGCUGCUAGCUGCCAUACCUUGAAUAAUCUGCUCAAAUCUCAUUUUUGCAUUGUCAUCCAUAUUUAUAACAAGUCCAGAGGCAUUGUAGUAACUCGUGCACAUUGCUAGUAUCAUCUCAGCAGCUCCUUUCCAAUGUGCUUGAAUUGUAUUGUUGUCAGCCUUCCUCUUCAUCAAAACCCCGCUUCGUUUCUUCUGUGAAUUGAAGGCCUCAACGUACAGAAUGCUACAACUCUUCACCACUUUCUGCAUAUCCAUCUUCGAUCCAUGUACCGCCCACGAAAGAAUAGCCUUCUCAGUAGGACUGCCUGAGAUUUCAAUUUCUGAAACUGAACUAGGCCUGUAUACGCUACCAGUUGUAUUCAGAGCAACCCCUUCUUGGAUCAAAUUAAGAACAUAUGGAGAUAUAGAUGAAAAAGCUUCUUCGGCCACAGGUUCUUCACCCAACCAAAACUUAGUUACCUUCAUUUCAUUCAUGGUGAGAGUGCCUGUUUUGUCCGUGCAAAUGAUGGUAGCAGAGCCCAUGGUCUCACAAGCAGAGAGCUUCCUCACCAUUGCUUUAUCAGCCAUCAUUCUCUUCAUGGAAUAAGCAAGAGUCAGAGUCACAGCUAGAGGCAAGCCUUCUGGAAUUGCCACAACAACAAUUGUAACUGCAGCUGCUACAAUCUCAACGACCGCGUUUAAUAUGUCAUCAACUUUGGUCUUGCUGCCAUUAUACUCCUGAUUUCCAUUCUCAUCCUGUGUAUUUCCUGUGAAGUAUCUAACUAACAAGACAAUGAACACUAGAAAAGCAACAACUAAACCAACUUUACCAAUUGAUGAAGUUAGCAUGUUGAGGCGAGCUUGUAAAGGGGUCUGUUCAUUUGUGUCACGGCUGAUUUGGCUCAUCAUUUCACCCCAAGUUGUGUUCAUGCCCACAGAAGUUACAAGCAUCCGAGCGUAGCCAUCAGCCACUUUGGUGCCAGAGAACAAGAAUGGAUUUUGGGUUUGAUUUAUUCCCACGUGGUCACUUUCCCCUGUCAUGCUUGAUUCAUCUACUUGUAAUGAAUGGCCAUCAAGAAACAACCCGUCAGCUGGAACUUGAUCUCCAAUCUUCAAGCAAAUGACGUCACCAACCACAAUAUCGAAUAUCGAAAUCUGUUGGCGCCUGCCGCCUCUCACAGCUUCAAUUUGGACAUUGUCACUGACUUUUGAUAACUUAUCAAAUUGCCUGUUCUGCCUGUAAUUACUUACAGCGGACACAGAAAUUACCAGAAUGAUUGCCAGAAAUAUGCUUCCGCCAUCGAUCCAGCCUUCUUUAAGGCCAUGCACUUUGAUCCCGAGACCAAGAGAGAGCGCAGCACAGCCUAAGAGGAUGAUAAUUGUGAGGUCUUUGAAGGCUUCCCCCACAAAAUGGAAGAACCCUUUUGCUGGUGGCUUCAUGUAUGUGUUUGAGCCAAAUGCUUCAACUCUUUUGGCAAUGUCUUGAGCAUCACCAUUGCCAUGGAUGCCAUGCUCUGCAUCAGUUUUGAGAGCUGAUGCUAUUUCUUCAACCCCUCCCAGCUCCCGGAGCUGGUUGAGGCUUUUGUCCUUGACAAGGUCAGUGAGGGUGGUUUGAUCAAUUUCGAACUCGUUAUCUGGCUUGACAGUAAGAGUAGUAUAAGAGGGAGAGCGAGGUAUUUUGGUGUUUGUGAAUUUGGAUUUGGAUAGAGAAAAAAGGUUGAAGGCUCUAGAGCAGUAGAUGGUUGCAAAAGCAGAAUGCCAUUUUCUUUGGUGUUUGCUAAGAGUGCUUUUUUGAACAGCAAAAAGCGACCCAAUUUCAAUGUAUCCCAGUUUUGCAUGCAAUGUGGUAGCCAUGCUGCUUAAUAAUAGAAAAUAAAAAACUUAAGAGAAUGUACUGAAAAUUAAGGCAGAGAGAUGAAAAGACUAUUUGGACCAAUUAUUCAAUUAACCAAGGAAGGAACUAUUGAUAAGAGAAUUUGUCUGGAGAUUAUGCAAAUUUGCUGUUGCCUUGGACGCCGCUACUCGAAUAUAUAGUUCCUUGGAUAAAGAGGUUGCUUGGAAACUCUUUGGUGACGUGAGCGUGUGCUAUAUGAACUGGACAACGCGGAGUAUAACGUAAGCGAGGGCGCGUUUUGAUUACGUGUGUGUAACGUUUUCUCAACUCAUACAUAAGUGUAUUUAAUGUGUUAAAAAACUCUUUGGCUCCGUAAGGCUUGCAGAAAGAAUUUAAUGGGAAAUGGAAGAUUUAUUUUUCAUGUUUAAUAUUGGGAAAGUAAUCACGAAAAACCACUUUAUUUCUUUUCCCAUGUUUAGUUUGUCAAAAUUUUUAAUUAUACCCAUAUUAUAUAAAAAGAAAUAAAAAAGCCAAAGAAAUUUGAGUCGUCUUUUUUAAGUGGUUCUCACGCUCAUUCUUUCUCUGUGCGAUUCCACUGCAUUCAGAUUGAUUUUAAAAAAAGUUUCCUUUUUUUAAAAUAAUAAUAAUAAUAAUUACUAUUAUUUUUUUAUAAUAAUAACCUUGAUGUAUACAACACAAAUUAGUUGGUACAAUUCAAUGUACCAAACAUAAAAAUACCUGGUAGUAUUUCUCACUUGUCAAAAAGUUUGCGUUAAACACUUUUGUUUUUCUUUUCUUUUGUUUCAGAAAGUUGGGUUUCAUGAAAUUUGAACCUGACAUCAUUGUCUACAACAAAGUGAUACUACCGUCAAGUAUUUAAGAGUUAAUAAAAUAUCUAACAUCACUCUUCUUGCCCACUAAGGGAUCAGAGUGGUCCCGGCCCUCGUCACAAUAUAUUAAUAUAUUUUGUGAUAUUUUUAGAGUAUUUAUAAUUAUGUUCCUUAUUUUUCAGUUAAGAUUUGACUAAAAACACAUAAAAAUUAUUUUAAGAGCUCUCUAUAAAAUUUGAACUCCAAUAUACUCUCUAGUUUAGAGAGUCAUAAAUAUUAUAGUUAUUUUAUUUUAUUUAUUUAUUAUUAUUAUUUAAUUCAAUAUGAUUGGUCCAUCUCUAUAAAAAAAAAAAGUUAGCAUUAAUUAAAAGUUUAAACUAUACAUAAAACAAAGCAGCAUUAAAUUAUAGGGAGUCACUAGGAGUCAUUUCUCUCUCCUCAGAUUUAGGAGCUCCUAGAGGUCUCCCUAUUUUAGGAGGUGGAUAGGAAGCAUGGUUGGAGUUGUAUUUUUCGAAUUCAUCUCUAAAAUUUGUCUAAGGAGAUGGUCUAGGGAGCCUAUUGUGGACGCUAUUAAUAUUUUAAAAGUCUCCUAUUCAAGUUUACCUCUUUUUUUAGAUAACUUUCCUUCAAAUUUAAUUAGUAUACUAUUAUUAUUAUUUUUAUGCAAAUCCUUAAAAUCCAAGAGUCAUUUUCAACCGUUUCUUUGCUCUUAUAAUUAGGUUGGAUAAAAGGAUUAACUAGUGCAGUGGUUUGGAAUAUUUACUCCCUCUGACAAGGUUUUGGGUUCGAGUCCUAGUAUUCGUGUAGUGUGUGUGUGAGUUUAGUAUACUAUCAUCCAUCUCAAUAGGAAAUGUCUUAAAAAAAAAAAAGUUGGACACCAUAUUUGUGACUUUGGUUUAUUGUGUUAGUCUUCAUAUGAUAUAAUAUAUAUUAUGAAGUUUCAAUUGGGUUGGAUGCUCUCUUGUUCACGAGAAGAGUCAUGGGAAACAACUUGUAGAACCAAGGGUUUCUUCGCAGCUAGGGUUUUCGGUCUUGUCACUCUCAGACGUCGGCUCCUGAUGUUGCUCCCCUGACAUCUCCAGCCUCCAGCGUUUGGGCGAAGUUGCCUCCUGCUGCUUUGCUCAUCAUCUCAGUCAGUUUCAUUAGUACGCAUAACUCUUCGUUUGGUUUUCCCCCUUUGUCUUUGGUUGUCGCAGACUUGCUCUCUUACGCAAGGAGAGCCGUGGAAAAAACACACAAAGCCUAGGGUUUGCUCUUGCUCGUUGACUUGUGGUUGUCGCUGCCUCCUUUCCUCUCUAUACGUUUUGUCCUGCUGAUUUUGGUUUCAUGGUAGGGUUUCUGUCGAUGGAAGAUUUAGGGUGCGACGGUUGAUUUUCGUUCUUGAGUGUGUUGGUGGGAGGAUGAGGAUCCUGGUUUUUGGUAAAGGGCAAGGUUUUGAUGAGACUAAGAAGUCCAAUGCUCGGGUGAUUAGCUUCUAUGACCAUCCUGGGCCUAGCCAGCGAUGCACAAGUAUGAGCCUUCGGAAGCAUCUCUGGAAACUGAGAUUGCUCACCGGAGUUGUCGCUACCUGGCUGAUGAUGGCUUGGAGAUUUUGCAGUGGCGCCCUUUCUAAUAUGGCUUAAGGAGACCGGUUUUGUGGGGCCUCUUGGGGGCCAACCUUAGUGUGCGGUUGGAGUGUUCGUGGGCUUGGCAUCCUAUGAAUGCUCUGUUCCCUAAAGCCUCAUUCUUAAGGUUAAGUGGCUGACGUGGGGUUUGUUUUGUGUGGUGUUUUAUGUUGUCUACCUCUCUAAAUGCUUUCUAGUUCUGUGUUGUUCAACGGACUAUGGUUCUUUCAUAGGAGGUUUCUUUUGAUAGUGUUAGGAUGCGACAAUGUGUUUUCUGAAGGGUUUUUCUUCGUUGUUUUUCUGUCUUGUUGUCCUUUGUUUUUCUCCCACUGUUGUGUUCCCUUUGCAGCUGUUCUCUGCUCUGUGUUGUUGAAGAACUAUGCUUGGUCAUAGAAGGUUUUUCUUUCUUAGGCACUGAGUUGAGUUGUUGGGCUUCUUUGGGGUUCCUCUUUGUUGUCGUCUCCGUGUUUUCUUGGUGUGUUCUCUUGUGUCUCUGACUCUUGGUGUGCGAUGUUGUUCAUGUGAUGUACAAAGGACUAUAAAUUCUCAUAGAAUGCUUUUUUUAAUAGUUGGGUUGCAUUGCGGUUCUUUCUUGUGGGUCUACUGUGUUGGUGUCUAGUAAGUAUUUUUCUUUUCUGGUUUUUUGUAACAGUCCGAAGUGGCUUGAAUCGGACUCUCCAGUUAGUCCAUGGCAUGUGUGGUACUCUUUCUUACCUUGGGUUUGUCCCAUGUGAUUUUCCUACGAAUGUUUUAACGAGGCCACUGUAAUCGUGUUGUUGUUUGUAUGCCAAUUAUGGUUUAUGAAUGAAAUCUUAUUCUCAAAAGUUUCAAUUGGGUUGACUCAAUUAAGGUUUGUUAAUCUUUCUUGUAUUUUUGAGUGUUUUCUCCUCAUAUGGUUUGUUUGGGUUUGUGAAAUUUUGAUUUAAUAUCUAUUGAGCUCAAUUUAUGUGUAGGUUACCAAAGAAAAAAAGUUGUCAAGAUUUUUUAGGCCAGUUUGGCGUUGUUGUGCUGUGAAAAUAAUGGAUGUCAGAUUUGCUGUGAGAGAAAGCAGUUUGGUGUUUGGUAAACUUUUUGUUAAAAGUGUUAUUGAUACUGAUUCCUACAUAAUCAGAAAAUGAUUGCGGCAUAAUCAUUAAACCCAGUACCUCUUCGAAACUGAUUGUUGCAUAAUUAGAAAAUGAAAACAUCUCAUUAGCUGUUUUCCCUUAUAGCUUUCUCUCACAGCAAUUUUUAACAAAAAAAGAUUUUCUCAUAGUAUACCAAAUAGGCUGGGCUUCCCAAAUUUUUUUUAAAAUUAUUUAUCACCCCAAAUAAGCAAGGUUAAACAUACACUUUAUAUAUUUGAUCCUUUUUGUUACUUUGUAAUGUAUUAAUAUUGUGAGUUCUAAUAUAUAUGUUGUUAAAGGAUCCCCUACACAUGAAAUUCCAACUCCGCGUGCCCUUUAAACAAAAUUUUUCCGCUAAAACAGUUAAAAGGCAACACGUACGUGUCACUCUAAGCCGAAGAGAUCAUACGUCAGUAAAAAGAAGUAAUAACGCCUUCAAAACUCCAAUGGAGUGGUCAAUGCGUGUUCAACGACAAAGAUUCAAAAUGUUGACUCCAGGUGAAACUCAAGCACAAUUUAAUCGGAAAAUUCUAAUACAUUGUAGCAGCAAAUGCAGUGGCAUAAAAAUAAAACGCAAAGAAAAGACGUCCUUAUCCCGGACGGACCAACAUUGCAAUUACAUGCAACGUAACUUCAGUGCUUGUGAAAGUGCAGGACGGGCAAUGCGUUCCAACCGUCUGACUGUGGGAAUCAAAUUAAACCUGAAUUCUAAGUCAAAUAAUUAGGCCAAUCAAUUUGGGAAUUAUUUGACCUAAUUGAGAGUUACCUAAUCUAAUUGUGAAUUAUUUAAUCAAAUUGGGAGUUACUUGAAUUAAUUGGGAGGUUACCUAGUUCAAGUUGGAUGUAUUUGAUCCUCGCCUUAAUUAGGGAUUUAGUUAAAUCUCUAAUCCCUAAAUACACCAACCUCACCAACUAUACAAACCUCACCAACUACACCAACCCCACCAACCUCUUCAAGGCCACUAUAAAUACUUGGAUACGCACAAGGAUGAAGGUACGUCAGAAUUACUACUAAAACUUUGUAGAGAUCUUCCUCUCACAGACUCUAUCCACCUUCUCUCUCUCUCUCUCUCUCUCUCUCUCUCUCUCUCUCUCUCUCUCUCUCUCUUUUACUUAAGGCUCCGCCCGCUUGGUUUACACCAUAAAUAUAUCUCCGUACCCUAUUAGCUAUUGUUUUCUAUAUGAUUCAAUUGAACUAAUUUAGGCAUUGGAGUGUGGUCCUCUUAUUUGUUCUAUUUUGCAGGGAGAAAGAGGCGGCAAAGAAGAAAGGAGAAUCUUUCCAAUCGAAUAUUCUCAUGGGGAAAUUUGCUCCCACACUCACUCAAGAAUUUCUCUACUAAAUUUGGAAUCUACAAGAAUCGUGGGGUCAACUUAACCUUUAGUUGUUCAAUUUCCUAAAGAAAUUGUUAACAACCUUCACCUGAAAGUGUGAUAGACAACACAUAAUAUAUGGUGAGAAAGAAUGGUACGAGUAAACUACUCUUAUGCUGCAAAAAAAGAUGGCAGCAUGAGCCUUAUGCCACCUCUUUCUGGCUAUGCCAAGUUUACAGUACAUGGAUUCAAAGUCAUAGAACAGAACUACCUGAUUAUUUUAUCUCAUUGAGUGAUGGAUGAAAUAAUUUAGCAAGAUUCACAGAAAAGAAAAAUAUCCAUGGGAUGGGCAGUUGCUGAGAAAUUGCUUGAACUUGCUUUGGAUGCUUGCUAUUAUUGAUUUUAGAAUUUCAUAUAUUUGGGUUUAUGUGGAGAGGAAACUUCCAUUUGGUAAUGGAUAUCUAUUGUUUAUCUGUAUGCAUGGUGAUUGGUGGACAAUGCACGUCAAUGCAUCAAACUACUGAGGUCCACCUUAUGCUUACAAUAUUAUAGCAAAAGCGAAACUCAAAUGCUAUCGUCAAUAAAAUUUGACCCCCGGACAAGUUGGUUUUGUGAUGGAAUAUGAGGUGCUGGAAAUAUGAGUUGCUUCAGCAGAGCUCUUUGUAUUCUGAUUCACUUAGCUUGUAUUUACAAUGAUAAGCUCAAAGGCUUUUUAAAGAGAACAAAUAUUCUAGAGAAUGCUUCCUAGAGAACCUAAAAGACAUUGCAUAGGAACUCUACCAAAUUAAUUAAGGACAGGUUCAGCUGCUGCAAUAAAUAGAGAUAUUCUAGAGAAUGAAAGAAGUGCAUUAAUUCCAACACUCCCCCUUAAUGGAAUUUCUUCACAACUCCAAUGAGCUCUCUUAAAUAGCAAAACUUCUCUUGUGGAAGUGCCUUGGUGAGUAUGUCUGCCAACUGCUCCUCUGUCCUGCAGUAUUCAAGUGCAACUUCACCUUUCUCAAUUGACUCUCGAAUGAAAUGGUACUUGAUGGCAAUGUGCUUUGUAUGAUCAUGACUCACUGGAUUUUUCCCAAUGGCAAUGGCUGAUUUGUUGUCACAAUAUAAUUUGGUUCCGCCUUCUUGCUUUUCGCCAAUGUCUUCAAGUAUCCUUCUAAGCCAUACAACUUGUGAUGUUGCCUUAGCUACUGCAAUGUACUAUGCUUUAGCAGUAGAUUGUGCCACCACAUUUUGCUUCUUUGAUACCCAUGAACUUAUGCCGGAACCAAUUGAGAAAACAUAGGCUGACGUGCUCUUCAUAUCGUCAAGACAUCCUGCCCAAUUGUCUGUGUAACCAAUAAGCCUUGAUUUUUCUACUGCUGUAAACAAAAUUUCAUAAUCAAGUGUGCCUUGCAAGUAUCUCAACACCCUUUUUGCAGCUCUAAAAUGAAUCUGACUUGGCUCUUGCAUAUAACGUGAAAGUAAACUUGCAGCAAACAUAAUAUUGGUCUAGUUGUCUUAAGAUACAAAAAACUACCAACCAAACUUCAGUACUUCUUAGCAUCUCCCUUCUUUGCACCAUCAAACUUCCUCAUUUUCUCAUUUGCUAUCAAAGGAGAAGCCACUGAUUUGCAGCCCAGCAAAUUUAACUUCUUGAGAAUAUUUUCAGCAUAUUUCUUUUGAGAAAUGAAGAUCCCAUUUUUAGUUUGAGAAACUUCAAUUCCCAAAAAAAUAAUGAAGUAAUCCCAGAUCACUCAUCUCAUAGGUGCUCAUCAUAUCCUUCUUGAAUUGUUGGAUCAAGUGUUCAUCAUUGCCCGUAACGAUCAAAUCACGAAACUUAUAGCAAAAAACGACCUUAUGCUUACAAUAUUAUAGCAAAAAACAAAACUCAAAUGCUGUCAUCGAUAAAAUUUGAACUCCGGAUAUUCUCCAAAAAUGUAAAAGCUGAAUGCCACUGGAUCAAAUGGUCACAGACUCACGGAUUUCAAAUAGUACAAAAUAAAAUGAGGAUAACUUGUGAAAGCUGCCAUGCCGGAUGCAGAUGCAAAGAUGAAAGCUAUGCUCUAUAAUCACGAAAUAUGUGGUAUAUGCCUACCUUCUUUGUGGAGCAACCUUCACUUGGAUGGGCUGAGCAGUCCUCCCUCUGUUCCUCAAGAUAUGAUACAAUUAUUAUUUGUUUAAAUUUGCGCCCAGAGACUCCAUAUGUCGAGUUUUUUAUGGGCUACACUGGAUAAAUUUGAUAAUAUUUCAUAUAAAAAUAUACUUAAACCCAAAUUACAGGCUAAAAGGAAAACAAAAAUAAAAGCAGAAGCCCAAGUAGUAAAAAUAAUUUGGACAAACUACAUAAAACCCCCUAAAUUAUAGGGUCAUUUUCAAAUUCAUACCCAAUUUUAGAGACAUUUACGAGUACAUACUCAAAUUCCCGAAAACCCUACAAUUUGCCCCUACCGUUAACUGUUAGUUAAUCUGUUAAAUGCUGCUUUGGCAAAUAUGAUCCCCAAUUUUUAAUGACGUGGACUCCAUAUGGACAAAAUAUAUAGUAAACAAUUCUUUUGUUUUUUAAAUAAUAAAAAAAAAUAAAAAUCAAUGUUCCUCUCUCUCUCCUCCCAGCCCCCAGCCCGCCCGACUUACCCAACCAACAAGUGCAACCCAAAUUUCCCCCACCCUCUCCCCUUCACUGACGCAUCUCCCACACUCACCCACGACACACCUCCCCCUUUUUUCUGUCUGUUUGUUUCUCCCUCCCUAGCCCCCAAAUUUUUUGAAGUCUGUGGUGCUCAAAAUUUGGAUUUUGCAUAUACCCAUCUCACUAUUUCUCCAACGGUUUGUGUAACGAAGGGGGCAAAUUGUAGGAUUUCCGGAAGUUUGAAUAUGUACUCGUAAAUGUCUCUAAAAUUGGGUAUGAACUUGAAAAUGACCUCAUAAUUUAGGUGAUUUUAUGUAGCUUGUCCAAAUAAUUUUUAACUAGUUAAACAUAAUUUUCAGUGCUGGGAUUUGGACCAAGAAACUUGUUGGAAUUUAAGAGGUGUGCGAUGAGUGUUUGUGACGCUCACAUACCACUUGUUUGAUUGUAAGUUGAUUGUGAGUGGUGUUGCUAUGAUACCAUUGUUGGUUUAUGUGUGAAGGAGUUUAGAACAAUAGGACAAUAGUUAACAAAGUGAUUUUAUUAUAUUUGAAGGAGAAUGAUACAUAACUUGGUGUAGGCUAAUUGGCCUCCUUCCUAACUUAUAUAGGCUUAUUGGCCCUCUUUCUCUCUUAGCUUUAUGAGCUUAUUGGCUCCUCAACAUAGCUUUGUUUGGGUAGCUUUGGCUCCCUUAGUUUGGGAGUUGGCUUGUUUACUCCCCCACAUGCAUGACUCAGUUUGGGUCGGGUAGCUUGUAGCUCCCACAUAGGUUGGAGUUUAUUAAUUCACUCCACAUCUGGUUUGGGAGUUCUUUUUGUUAACUCCACUUUGCUAGAUUACAUUGCAUGUCUAUUUAUAGUUGAGUCUUGC
rnacentral:lncRNA from 1 species